CCUACGGGGCGCAGCAGUGAGGAAUAUUGGUCAAUGGGCGCGAGCCUGAACCAGCCAAGUCGCGUGAGGGAGGACGGCCCUACGGGUUGUAAACCUCUUUUGCCGGGGAGCAACGGGCGUCACGUGUGGCGCCACUGAGAGUACCCGGAGAAAAAGCAUCGGCUAACUCCGUGCCAGCAGCCGCGGUAAUACGGAGGAUGCGAGCGUUAUCCGGAUUUAUUGGGUUUAAAGGGUGCGCAGGCGGAAGAUCAAGUCAGCGGUAAAAUUGAGAGGCUCAACCUCUUCGAGCCGUUGAAACUGGUUUU
rnacentral:rRNA from 1 species